UUAAUUAUUUUGUUUGAUGACUCAGAGAUAGAACUGAAAACAGAGUUGAGUUGGGGCUUCUGGCGGGCACCUUUCCCCGAGGGAAAGGCGACGGCCCCUCCCUGGGGCUGCCCGCCGAAGCAACAAUGUAAGUUUACACAGGGUUGAUGAAGAGGCCCGAAAGCUCUCUAUCUCGUAAUGAUCCCUCCGCUGGUUCACCAACGGAGA
rnacentral:misc_RNA from 1 species